UACGUAGGGUGCAAGCGUUAAUCGGAAUUACUGGGCGUAAAGCGUGCGCAGGCGGUGAUGUAAGUCAGUUGUGAAAUCCCCGGGCUCAACCUGGGAACUGCAUCUGUGACUGCAUUGCUGGAGUGCGGAAGAGGGGGAUGGAAUUCCGCGUGUAGCAGUGAAAUGCGUAGAUAUGCGGAGGAACACCGAUGGCGAAGGCAGGUCUCUGGGCUGAUACUGACGCUCAGGCACGAAAGCGUGGGGAGCAAACAGG
rnacentral:rRNA from 1 species